ACAAGUGUACCUUGCAAAUAUAGAUAUUACAUCAUUCCUACAAAAAGAUUCAAUCUUUAAUACAAAGGCAAAGCCUCAAAACACUUUCAAUGCGAGCAAACAAUAUCCAAUCACAGUAAAGCAAUGCUCAAGGACUAUUUCCUGCAUAGGUCUUCUGACCUGCAUCUAAAGGUAGAAGGGAUAAGGUGAGUUCACAACUCAAUAGGAAAGUUUAUAACCAUCCAAAGCAUACCCUUAAAAACCUUGAAUUAAACGUGUAAUAACAUGCAUGAUAAACAUUUUAUAACCAUUAACAAAUAUGCAAUCAUGUCAAACAUGUAUGCAUGUGUUUGCUGGUUUCAUCUUUGCCUUUUCUUGUCCAUUAUUUCACAACUGAUAAAUUGCUCACCCCCACCAAUCUAUACAUCAGAUAUCAAUGCUCCACAAGAUACUCGGUUAAUAUAAUAAUGACUAUUUUGGGACAUCACCCAAGGACAAGUCAUAUCCUGUGUCUUUUGGGACUCAUACCCAAGGGCAGGACCAACCUCGUGUCUUUAGGGACUAAAACCCAGGGGCAGGACCAACCCCAUACACCCACAUCGGAGUGUCUUCCUCAAGGGCAUUAAUGACUUUCACCUAAGGACCCAUGGUUCCACAUAAAUAAUAUAUUGAAGGAUAAUGCCUGUAGCAUCACAUAAACACUUCCCACCAAUUAAUUCUCUGAAUAUCAUCUGUGAUUAUUCCAUAUCCUUCUUGCAAUGCAACCACAUAAUGAACCAUUUUCACAACAUAGAACCAUGAAUCUUCAUACCAAUAUACGUUCCAAUAUCAAUGUAACAUUUUAACACAAUAAACCGAGAUGCAAUGACACAUUAAAACAUUUUAUGAAAUCAUAAUGACAUGAAAUUUCCAAUAAAUGUUUCAAGGAAAGAAAUCAGAUACACCAUGGAAUAGUAUAAAAUUCCUUACCUUACAUGGACUUUCCCUCUGUGAUUCUUCUAUGUAGGCGAUCUUUACCUAUUACAAGGAACUGAAAUGAAACACAUAAUUUAGACUUCCUAACAAUGAAAAUUUAUACAAUUUACUGUUGCUAAUUUUUAAUUCUAAUAUUCUCUAAUCUACAUGUCUACAGGUUUUCAAAUCAAAAUUGAAUUGAAUUAAAUAAUAUUUACAAUGCAUAUUAAUAUUCCCUAAUUAAUUACCAAACACUAAUUGUUUUGAUUUUUUUCUUAAAGCCACAUUAACAAAUUCCAAGUGUCCAAAUAACCUAAUUAAGCACAUGUUUACUAAUCUAUUUUUCAAUUAAACCAAAUUAAACAAAGAUUUAUGUUGAUCUUAUCAUUAAUAAAAUAUUUAAGCUAAAAUACUUUAAUCCUUAAUUAAUUGUGAUUUUUAACUAAAACAUGUUUAUACCUAAUUAUACUCAACUUUUACACAAAUUUUACUGUUAAUUUGUUUCAUCAUACCAUUAAGAAUCAAGAUAAAUCAAAAUUACUAAAUUAAACAACUUGCUUACCUCAAAUCUGCACUCUCUCUCUAGAUCCUCUUUCUAACC
rnacentral:lncRNA from 1 species